rnacentral:piRNA from 1 species
UUAAUAUGAUGUAUGUUGCUGUGACCUC